rnacentral:rRNA from 1 species
UCGGCUUAACCGGUGUAGUGCAUUGGAAACUGGAGGACUUGAGUGCAGGAGAGGAGAGUGGAACUCCAUGUGUAGCGGUGAAAUGCGUAGAGAUAUGGAAGAACACCAGUGGCGAAGGCGGCUCUCUGGUCUGUAACUGACGCUGAGGUUCGAAAGCGUGGGUAGCAAACAGG